GCACACACACGAGUGAAACUGGAAGCUCAUCCGGGCGGCGUGAGAGCAGCACAAGGGCUUGGCAGGUUUAUUUGGAGUUGGAGAUGCUUGUGUCCGUUGGAUGUGAACGAGCGGCGGUCCACGUUGGUAACGAAGCCGCGGUAAACCAACUCUGUCGAUACAUGGGCGCGCCGGCGGCCGCCCUUUCCAGUGCUUCCACUAGCAUGUCGCGAUGGCGCCUGCCCAUGGUUCGGUGAACGGUGAUUGCCUGCACAGCCAAGACGGUGGCGUGGUCAGCUAACUGAUGUGGUACAAACAUCCUAGCCUAUAAUUGCAAGCAUAGCAAAUGAACAGCUCGGCCUAACCAAAUGUGUGCAUUGUUUAGCGGUGCUAUUUUCAGAAAUAUGUGGAUUCAUGUAUGCAGGCUCGCUUGAACUACAUGAACUUUACUGAAUUUGUAUGUUGUCACCUGA